CACCGCGCAGAGCCCUGCUGAACUGCAGUUCAGACCUCAGCUGCCCGGAGCCGAGGAUCAACAGGGAGGCCAUUAAUCUCUCCAGCAGGGGUCCUGCUCAUGAUACUGAUUAAAUCAAAGUAUGUGGUUAGAGGCUACAUAACUACCCCAAGCCGAGGAGUCCGUGCAGGCCACAGAGGGUCUCUACCUUCCAGGAGGAAUGAGGGCUCAAGACCCCAGAGCAGGGCAAAUUACACCAGAGGGGUGUGCACACAGAAUGCAAAUAACCCAGGGCGCUCCUGGGAAACCAGGGCACCGGGUAGACCCGGAGGCCUCUUCCGGCAAAGGACGCCCAGCCCUUUGUUCAGUCGCUCCUUCGUGUUCGACUCUUUGCGACACCAUAGACUGCAGCUUGCCAGGCUUCCCUAUCCUUCACCAUCUCCCAGAGUUCGCUCAAACUCACGACCGUCAAGUCGGUGAUGCCAUCCAGCCACCUCAUCCUCUGUCUCCGUCUUCUCUCAGCCCUUAGACUGAGUUGAAAACGCCGUUUGAAUAGGAUUCGGGCUCUUCUCCUCAGGUGAGCCUCAGGCCUGGAAUACCCUUCUUCCUGUUUGCCUUGCUGCUACAUCCAAGAAAUUUCAGGAGCGCCCCCUCCCUGAAAUCCCCCAUGGCUGGACCUGCCCCAUCCUGUUCAUUUCUCCCACUGUUGUGGACAGCUCCAGUGUCUUGGAAGUCCUGAAUUCUAUUUAGGGGGUUGGCCUGUCAGGUUUUAUUUGUCAUCCGUGAGCUCACAUUCAGAGGAGGAUGUCACGAAGACCUUGGCCCUGAGUUGCAAGAGCCAAGUUUUCCAGUCUGUGUCUCACUGGAGUGUCUCCUCCCAACCCACGGGGUCAAUGAGAAGGACUCUGAAAUGGACCCAGAGACCUGGGUUGUUGCUCUGUCUCUGAUACCGGCUGGCUGUGUCACCUGGACAAGUCGCUGCCUUUCUCAGGACCUCAGUUUCUCUUUCUGAAAAUUAAGGAUUGUCUAUUUUGCUCCCUACAGGCCUUUGGUGGCCAAGCCUUCUGUGACUCUGUGAGGGCUGGUGGUCCUGGGGACAGUGGAUUAAGACAAAGAACUCAAUUCUCAAGCCGAGUGUGGCCUACACUGCCUCCAGUGCCCUGCAUGUUCAUUUCAAACUCUGCUGACUUGCUGUUGUCUUGGUUUCCUGGUCCAAUCUCCCCCGCUUCCCUUGGACGCUCAAAAGCUCAGAUGAGGAAAUGGACACUGGGUGGUGCCAUGAUCCCACUGUCCCAUCCAGCCUCAGAGCCGCCUCUCUCCUCUCACCAAGGGAAGGGAGGGAAAGGGGAGACAGGCUCCUUCCAGAGGGCAGAAAGUGCACUGUGCUGUCUGGGGGCUGCAGGCAUCAGUAAUUCAGGGGCUGGUGGAAGGGCUAGCCUGACACCAUCUCGGGUUGAGGUAGGGUGGAGGCCUACCAGCAUGGAUGGGGGCUAGGGAAAAGGUUACAGAGGCCCCACCCUCACUGUCCACUCUCUGGCCUCUGGCCCUGAAAUUAACCAAGCCAGCACUGAAAGAGGUGGAUAAGAUUAGGUCAAACUUGAGGCCCCCUGGCCCCAAGAGUGGAAAGGGCAUGGCUGGAGCUUGGCACCACAGUUGGGGGUGAGGGAUGGGGAGAGAGCAUGUGCCGAGGACGCCCCUGCCCAAGAUCCCUAGACCCACCCAUCCUGGCACGCCGGUGCACUUGGGGAAAUGUGGGCAGAGCACCUAACAACUAAAACACGGGCAGCCCAGGGCAGGGCCGCCUUGACUCCCACUGGAGAGAUCCUACAGCCACACCCAG
ensembl:lncRNA